GUUAAAAUACUUGUGCUCGUACGACCACCGAAGCUAAGCAAUUACAAGCCUGGUCAGUAUCUAGAUGGGUGACCGCUUGGGAAUACCAGGUGCUGUAAG